rnacentral:rRNA from 1 species
CCUACGGGAGGCAGCAGUGGGGAAUAUUGCACAAUGGGCGCAAGCCUGAUGCAGCCAUGCCGCGUGUGUGAAGAAGGCCUUCGGGUUGUAAAGCACUUUCAGCGGGGAGGGAGGCGGUGAGGUUAAUAACCUCAUCGAUUGACGUUACCCGCAGAAGAAGCACCGGCUAACUCCGUGCCAGCAGCCGCGGUAAUACGGAGGGUGCAAGCGUUAAUCGGAAUUACUGGGCGUAAAGCGCACGCAGGCGGUCUGUCAAGUCGGAUGUGAAAUCCCCGGGCUCAACCUGGGAACUGCAUUCGAAACUGGCAGGCUAGAGUCUUGUAGAGGGGGGUAGAAUUCCAGGUGUAGCGGUGAAAUGCGUAGAGAUCUAGAGGAAUACCGGUGGCGAAGGCGGCCCCCUGGACAAAGACUGACGCUCAGGUGCGAAAGCGUGGGGAGCAAACAGGAUUAGAUACCCGAGUAGUC